GCUAGGUGGAUUAGUGGCGAACGGGUGAGUAAUACGUGAGUGACCUACCUUUGACUCUGGGAUAAGCCUGGGAAACUGGGUCUAAUACCGGAUACGACCAAUCUCCGCAUGGGGUGUUGGUGGAAAGCGUUAUGGAGUGGUUUUAGAUGGGCUCACGGCCUAUCAGCUUGUUGGUGAGGUAAUGGCUUACCAAGGCGACGACGGGUAGCCGGCCUGAGAGGGUGACCGGCCACACUGGGACUGAGACACGGCCCAGACUCCUACGGGAGGCAGCAGUGGGGAAUAUUGCACAAUGGGCGCAAGCCUGAUGCAGCGACGCCGCGUGAGGGAUGACGGCCUUCGGGUUGUAAACCUCUGUUAGCAUCGAAGAAGCGAAAGUGACGGUAGGUGCAGAGAAAGCGCCGGCUAACUACGUGCCAGCAGCCGCGGUAAUACGUAGGGCGCGAGCGUUGUCCGGAAUUAUUGGGCGUAAAGAGCUUGUAGGCGGUUGGUCGCGUCUGCUGUGAAAGGCUGGGGCUUAACCCUGGUUUUGCAGUGGGUACGGGCUAACUAGAGUGCAGUAGGGGAGACUGGAAUUCCUGGUGUAGCGGUGGAAUGCGCAGAUAUCAGGAGGAACACCGAUGGCGAAGGCAGGUCUCUGGGCUGUAACUGACGCUGAGAAGCGAAAGCAUGGGGAGCGAACAGGAUUAGAUACCCUGGUAGUCCAUGCC
rnacentral:rRNA from 1 species